AGCUUAUUUUGCGAUGGCGGAGCUCGACCGCCGGUCGAAGUGAUGGUGUCGUUCAUCGACAUGCAUCGCGGGGAGCAUGGGGUCGAGCCGAUCUGCAACGUCCUGCCGGUUGCCCCU
rfam:Roseivivax halodurans JCM 10272 contig35, whole genome shotgun sequence.